rnacentral:rRNA from 1 species
AGAGUUUGGAUCCUGGCUCAGAUUGAACGCUGGCGGCAUGCUUUACACAUGCAAGUCGAGCGGCAGCGCGGGGGCAACCCUGGCGGCGAGCGGCGAACGGGUGAGUAAUGCAUCGGAACGUGUCCCGUAAUGGGGGAUAACGCCGCGAAAGCGGCGCUAAUACCGCAUAUGCUCUGCGGAGGAAAGUGGGGGACCUCGCAAGGGGCCUCACGUUAGGGGAGCGGCCGAUGUCCGAUUAGCUUGUUGGUGGGGUAACGGCCUACCAAGGCUGCGAUCGGUAGCUGGUCUGAGAGGAUGAUCAGCCACACUGGGACUGAGACACGGCCCAGACUCCUACGGGAGGCAGCAGUGGGGAAUUUUGGACAAUGGGGGCAACCCUGAUCCAGCCAUGCCGCGUGCGGGAAGAAGGCCUUCGGGUUGUAAACCGCUUUUAGCCGGGAAGAAAGGGCCGAGGUGAACAGCCUUGGUCGUUGACGGUACCGGCGGAAUAAGCACCGGCUAACUACGUGCCAGCAGCCGCGGUAAUACGUAGGGUGCGAGCGUUAAUCGGAAUUACUGGGCGUAAAGCGUGCGCAGGCGGUUCGUUGUGUCGGUGGUGAAAGCCCCGGGCUCAACCUGGGA